GAAGAAUUAGGCUUCAGAAGGCUGUUCCCAGUUGUGUUACACUUUGACUUCUGUUUCCAGUCGUUAAUAUUCUUACUUUAAUUCUGAGGAAAUUGCAUGAGAUUUUUCCAACUUUUACCUGAGGAAACGAGCCUCAGAGCUCCCCGCUGGGCCUGUUGAAGGUCCCUCCCUGUUCUGGGUCAAGCCCACCUGUAUGGUGUAGCAGACAGAGGUCCUGACUUCAUGCCAGAUAACUUUCUUCCUGGAAUUCUUGCAAUAACAGGGUAGUUUAGUACACUUUUUGUUUGCUGUUUAGGUUUAUUAUGUAGAAAAGAAGCUUGGUAAACCGAGUGGCUGGACAGAACAUUAAGACAGAUGGGUGCCAAUCGUGGCAAAUGUGACCUUUGAGACAGAGGAUAAGAACCGCCAGUUGCAGGAGCGCCUGGAGCUGGUGGAGACGCUGCAGCAGACGCUGCGGAGGGCGGAGACGCUGCCCGAGGUGGAGGCCGAGCUGGCGCAGAAGGUGGCCGCGCUCUCCAAGCACCUCUGCUGUCCGUCCCAGGCGGGAGAGACACGCAACAUCGAGGAGAGGCUGCGCCAGAUGGAGCCCCAACUGGAGGAGAAGAACAAGGAGCUGCAGCGGGCAAGGCAGAGAGAAAAAAAUGAAUGAAGAACACAAUAAACGCUUAUCAGAUACCGUGGAUAAGCUUCUGUCCGAAUCAGAUGAGAAGCUUCAGCUUCAUCUGAAGGAGAGAAUGGCUGCUCUGGAGAAUAAGGCACAGUGCACACAGGAACUUGCUUCUGCCACUAAUGAUGAAGUCAAUCUGAGGGACAGAUAUUUGUAUCCUGGAUGCACCAGGCUCUUCCAUGCAACUGACUGGAGUGGUCUUCUCUUAUUUGUUCCAUCAUGUUUUAAAUAAAAGUAAAUAUACAUAUGGUAAAACAUUUAAAUGGUACAAGAGGAUUUAAAAUAAUCAGUAAAUGUCAUUUUC
rnacentral:lncRNA from 1 species